rnacentral:tRNA from 1 species
GUAGCUCAGUGGUAGAGCACUCCCUUGGUAAGGGAGAGGUCGAGAGUUCAAUCCUCUCUGGCAGCACCA